GCAACAUUACGUACAAAUUUAAUUAUAAUUCGUUGUGAUAUUAAACUUCAUUUCAAAGAAAAUCUAUAUUUAAAAAAAAAGAAGCAAAAAUCUACUAUUAUUUCCAUAACUUAUUGGCGCGAGCCAAACAUCGUGUGUACUAGUAUUAUUUAUGUCCAUACAAAACGACAGUGUGGAUCAAAAGUUUUAGUUUAUCCAUUCAUUCAUAUCACUUCUACACACUUCUUCUUUUCUUCUCCUUCACUCACACCAAACUUCCAUCACUUCAACAAAUUUCUUAACUUAAG